rnacentral:rRNA from 1 species
UACAGAGGUCCCAAGCGUUGUUCGGAUUCACUGGGCGUAAAGAGCGUGUAGGCGGCCAGGUAGGUCUGCUGUGAAAACUCGAGGCUCAACCUCGAGAUGUCGGCGGAAACCAUCUGGCUAGAGUCCGGAAGAGGAGAAUGGAAUUCCCGGUGUAGCGGUGAAAUGCGCAGAUAUCGGGAAGAACACCCGUGGCGAAGGCGGUUCUCUGGGCCGGAACUGACGCUAAGGAGCGAAAGCGUGGGGAGCGAACGAGG